rnacentral:snRNA from 1 species
UGAUGUGAGGCCGAUUCGGCUGGGAUAUUUGCCACCCCCAUGAUCCCCAGGGUUGAUUCAGUUGAUCUGGCUGGCUAAGUGGGGUUCCCUUCCUCCCUCACCGCUCCAUGUGUGUCCCUCCCAAAGCUGCGGCUUGUGGAAGAGAAUGCCUUCCCGGAAUAGAGAUGGAUGUCGGGUCUCUUCUGUCGAAGGAAGUAAUGUGCUCUCCUGCUAGAACGUCCAAACAGUAUUUUAUUUAAUGAGAGAGAGAGAAACAGAGAAUCAAGAGCACUGCUCUACUCU